rnacentral:rRNA from 1 species
UACGUAGGUGACAAGCGUUGUCCGGAUUUACUGGGCGUAAAGAGCGCGCAGGCGGUCGUUCAAGUCGCGUGUGAAAGCCCCCGGCUCAACUGGGGAGGGUCACGCGAUACUGAUCGACUCGAAGGCAGGAGAGGGUAGUGGAAUUCCCGGUGUAGUGGUGAAAUGCGUAGAUAUCGGGAGGAACACCAGUGGCGAAGGCGGUUGCCUGGAGCUUUGCUGACGCUGAUGCGCGAAAGCGUGGGGAGCGAUCCGG